rnacentral:tRNA from 1 species
GGGAAGGUGGCAGAGUGGUUUAAUGCAUCGGUCUUGAAAACCGACGUAGCUGCGAGGCUACCGAGGGUUCGACUCCCUCCCUUUCCG